UCUGUUUCUUUUAACUUAUCAUAGUAAUUCAUAUUAGACCUCAAAUCAAUAGUCGGUUGUUUUUUGACGGUUGGUGGGGGGUCGUUGUUCAGUGAUGAGUGUUCACCUUAUUUAUUACUCCAUGAGUUUCUCGUACACACUGGGAUUUCACUGGGUUUGAUUGAUUGAUUGAUAUAUAGCAGCAUAUUAUGCUGAUCAUUUUAUUGCAAGUUUUGAAAAGAUCAUCCUUUUUCAUCAGCUGAUUAUUGGCUUGUGUUCGUGGUCAUGAUGGAUUUGCUUUAUUUAGAGGCUCCAUUUCCUCUGUUAAUGAUAUUCUUCAUUCAUUCUUUGUAGAUAAUUUGCUAUUUGUAUGUGCAGUUCCAUCUCUGCAAAGCUCAUAUUAGUUUUGUUGCUUAUAGGAUCAGUUUGAGAUUACUGGCAGAUAUGGAUGAUCCAGUCCACAAACAAUUCUAUUGUUAACUAAUCGAUAUCCUUAUUUGGCUUUGCAGGUUUUUAAUGCCAACAUACCAGUGACUGAUUCAUAUAGCUGACGCCAACUUGCUUGCGAUUGAUCCGUAGUUAUUGUUGUGCAGUAGUGACGGCAAUUGUGUUAUGGGCUGGCUAGAAAAGAUAUUUGGAGGUUCCACUCACAGGAUCUCUGGUGGGCAAUAUCAUGGGGGGUAUGAGAGUGGGCAAUAUCAUGGGGGCUACGACCUAGGACAAUAUCAUUCGGGGCACGAAGGAGGGCAAUAUCAGGGAGGGUAUGAGGACAAUACAAUUUGGGAGGGACCAACUGCCUCAGUGGAUGCAUUGUCAGAUUUCGAUAAUGAAGAAAUUGAUCGUGCCAUUGCACUUUCUCUAGCUGAAGAGGAUCAGAAAGGGAAAAAAGUAAUCGAGAGUGAACCCAACUUGGAGGAAGACGAGGCGCUUGCCAAGGCUCUUCAGGAAAGUUUGAAUGUGGAGUCGUCUCCACCUCGAUAUGAUUAUGGAAGUUUCUUUCCACCAGUCUCACACUCGUAUCCACAUGGAUAUAGGGUAUGUGCCGGUUGUAAUGCUGAAAUUGGUCAUGGAAGAUAUUUAAGUUGCAUGGGAGCUGUUUGGCAUCCAGAAUGUUUCCGUUGCCAUGGUUGCAAUCAACCGAUUUCUGACUAUGAGUUUUCGAUGUCAGAUAACCGUCCGUACCAUAAAUCAUGCUACAAAGAACAGCAUCACCCAAAAUGUGAUGUUUGCAAGAACUUCAUUCCAACAAAUCCGGCUGGUCUAAUUGAAUAUAGGGCUCAUCCUUUCUGGCUUCAGAAGUAUUGCCCAUCACAUGAAACUGAUGGGACACCUCGUUGUUGCAGUUGUGAGAGAAUGGAGCCCGUAGAUGCCAGAUAUUUGAUAAAUGAUGAUGGUAGGAAGCUGUGUCUGGAGUGCUUGGACUCUGCAAUAAUGGAUACUCAUGAAUGCCAACCACUUUAUCUUGAGAUACAAGAAUUUUACGAAGGUUUAAAUAUGAAAGUAGAGCAGCAAAUUCCUUUGCUUCUAGUGGAAAGACAAGCCUUAAAUGAAGCGAUGGAAGGAGAAAAAAAUGGUCAUCAUCACAUGCCUGAGACUCGAGGACUCUGCCUGUCUGAAGAACAGACCAUUAGCACUAUUUCAAGGCGGCCACGGAUUGGUAGUUAUCGGAUUUUAGAUAUGUUUACUGAGCCUUACAGGUUAAUUCGACGAUGUGAAGUGACAGCUAUUUUAAUCUUGUAUGGUCUCCCUAGGUUAUUGACUGGUUCAAUUCUGGCUCAUGAAAUGAUGCAUGCAUGGCUGAGGCUUAAAGGUUAUCCGAGUUUAAGUCCAGAAGUUGAAGAAGGUAUCUGCCAAGUAUUAGCUCACAUGUGGUUGGAGUCUGAAAUUAUAGCUGGUUCUGGUAGUAAUAGUACUUCUGCAUCUUCCUCGGCGUCCUCAUCAUCCUCUUCAUCACCAUCUACUACUUCAUCAAAGAAAGGGAAACGUUCUGAGUUUGAGAAGAAAUUGGGUGAUUUUUUCAAGCACCAGAUUGAAUCAGACACAUCAGCAGCUUAUGGGGAUGGAUUCAGAGAAGGUAAUAAGGCAGUGCUCAAGUAUGGCCUGAAGACAACACUUGAUCAUAUCAAGCUUACAGGAACCUUCCCUUGUUAAAUUAUUCAGUCACUCUGAGUGUUUCCACUUCAACUCGAUUCUUGUUUUAUAGGACCAAAUACCACACAGAGAUGAUAAUCAUCAUAAUAAUAGUCCAAUAAUGAAAAGUCUCCAAAGGGCGCUUCAUUUUUUUUCUACGUUGCAGAAGAGGGAGAUUGGCUGUUCAAUACCUAUUGACUCCAUAUAAGCAGCAAAACUCAGCAUUUUCUCCAUAAUAUGUUGUAAAUUGGAGUCCUCGCGUCUAGUUAUUCCCUGUAUUCUUCU